rnacentral:rRNA from 1 species
UACGAAGGGGGCUAGCGUUGAUCGGAAUUACUGGGCGUAAAGCGCACGUAGGCGGAUUGUUAAGUCGGGGGUGAAAUCCUGGAGCUCAACUCCAGAACUGCCUUCGAUACUGGCGAUCUCGAGUUCGGGAGAGGUGAGUGGAACUGCGAGUGUAGAGGUGAAAUUCGUAGAUAUUCGCAAGAACACCAGUGGCGAAGGCGGCUCACUGGCCCGAUACUGACGCUGAGGUGCGAAAGCGUGGGGAGCAAACAGG